rnacentral:tRNA from 1 species
UCCCUGGUAGCUCAGAUGGUAAAGCAUCUGCCUGCAAUGCAAGAGACCCAGGUUCGACCCCUGGGUUGGGAA